GACGAACGCUGGCGGCGUGCCUAAUACAUGCAAGUCGAACGCCUGUAGCAAUACAGGAGUGGCAGACGGGUGAGUAACACGUGGGAACGUGCCCAAAGGUACGGAACAACUCCGGGAAACUGGAGCUAAUACCGUAUGUGCCCGAGAGGGGAAAGAUUUAUCGCCUUUGGAUCGGCCCGCGUCUGAUUAGCUAGUUGGUGGGGUAAUGGCCUACCAAGGCGACGAUCAGUAGCUGGUCUGAGAGGAUGGCCAGCCACACUGGGACUGAGACACGGCCCAGACUCCUACGGGAGGCAGCAGUGGGGAAUAUUGGACAAUGGGCGCAAGCCUGAUCCAGCCAUGCCGCGUGAGUGAUGAAGGCCUUAGGGUUGUAAAGCUCUUUCGCCAGGGACGAUAAUGACGGUACCUGGAUAAGAAGCCCCGGCUAACUUCGUGCCAGCCGCCGCAGUAA
rnacentral:rRNA from 1 species